rnacentral:rRNA from 1 species
GAUGAACGCUGGCGGCGUGCCUAACACAUGCAAGUCGAGCGUGAUUGUUGUGAGUGGAGACUUCGGUUGAAGCGAACAACAUGAAAGCGGCGGACGGGUGAGUAACGCGUGGGCAACCUGCCCCAUACAGCGGAAUAGCCACUGGAAACGGUGAUUAAUGCCGCAUAAGACCCCGGCAUCGCAUGAUGCAGCGGUCAAAGAUUUAUCGGUAUGGGAUGGGCCCGCGUCUGAUUAGCUAGUUGGUGAGGUAAUGGCUCACCAAGGCGACGAUCAGUAGCCGACCUGAGAGGGCGGACGGCCACACUGGAACUGAGACACGGUCCAGACUCCUACGGGAGGCAGCAGUGGGGAAUAUUGCACAAUGGGCGCAAGCCUGAUGCAGCAACGCCGCGUGAGUGAAGAAGGCCUUCGGGUCGUAAAGCUCUGUCCUUUGGGAAGAAGAAAGUGACGGUACCAAAGGAGGAAGCCCCGGCUAACUACGUGCCAGCCGCCGCCGUAAAAC